GAUGAACGCUAGCGGGAGGCCUAACACAUGCAAGCCGAGCGGGAUUUGUUGGUUAGCUUGCUAACUAACAAUGAGAGCGGCGUACGGGUGCGUAGCACGUGUGCAACCUGCCUUUAUCUGGUGGAUAGCCUUUCGAAAGGAAGAUUAAUACCCCAUAACAUAUUGAUUGGCAUCAGUUAAUAUUGAAAGCUCUGGCGGAUAGUGAUGGUCACGCGUAAGAUUAGCUAGUUGGUGAGGUAACGGCUCACCAAGGCUGCGAUCUUUAGUGGACAUGAGAGGGUGAUCCCCCACACUGGUACUGAGACACGGACCGGACUCCUACGGGAGGCAGCAGUGAGGAAUAUUGGACAAUGAGUGAGAGCCUGAUACAGCCAUCCCGCGUGAAGGACUAAGGACCUAUGGUUUGUAAACUUCUUUUAUACAGGGAUAAACCUACUAUCGUGAGGGUAGCUGAAGGUACUGUAUGAAUAAGCACCGGCUAACUCCGUG
rnacentral:rRNA from 1 species